rnacentral:rRNA from 1 species
CCUACGGGAGGCAGCAGUGGGGAAUCUUGCGCAAUGGACGAAAGUCUGACGCAGCGACGCCGUGUGAGUGAAGAAGGCCUGCGGGUUGUAAAGCUCUGUCAAGAGGGACGAAAAUGUUUUGGGUUAACAGCCCAAGGCACUGACGGUACCUCUGGAGGAAGCACCGGCUAACUUCGUGCCAGCAGCCGCGGUAAUACGAAGGGUGCAAGCGUUGCUCGGAAUUAUUGGGCGUAAAGGGGAGGUAGGUGGUCUCGUUUGUCCGGGGUGAAAUCCCUAGGCUUAACCUAGGACGUGCCUCGGAAACGGCGAGACUAGAGUACUGGAGAGGUUAGCGGAAUACCCGGUGUAGCGGUGAAAUGCGUAGAGAUCGGGUGGAACACCAGAGGCGAAGGCGGCUAACUGGACAGUUACUGACACUAAACUCCGAAAGCGUGGGGAGC